UAGAGUUUGAUCCUGGCUCAGAUUGAACGCUGGCGGCAUGCCUUACACAUGCAAGUCGAACGGCAGCACGGGCUUCGGCCUGGUGGCGAGUGGCGAACGGGUGAGUAAUACAUCGGAACGUGCCCUGUAGUGGGGGAUAACUAGUCGAAAGAUUAGCUAAUACCGCAUACGACCUGAGGGUGAAAGCGGGGGACCGCAAGGCCUCGCGCUACAGGAGCGGCCGAUGUCUGAUUAGCUAGUUGGUGGGGUAAAAGCCUACCAAGGCGACGAUCAGUAGCUGGUCUGAGAGGACGAUCAGCCACACUGGGACUGAGACACGGCCCAGACUCCUACGGGAGGCAGCAGUGGGGAAUUUUGGACAAUGGGGGCAACCCUGAUCCAGCAAUGCCGCGUGUGUGAAGAAGGCCUUCGGGUUGUAAAGCACUUUUGUCCGGAAAGAAAUGGCUCUGGUUAAUACCCGGGGUCGAUGACGGUACCGGAAGAAUAAGCACCGGCUAACUACGUGCCAGCAGCCGCGGUAAUACGUAGGGUGCGAGCGUUAAUCGGAAUUACUGGGCGUAAAGCGUGCGCAGGCGGUUUUGUAAGACAGGCGUGAAAUCCCCGAGCUCAACUUGGGAAUGGCGCUUGUGACUGCAAGGCUAGAGUAUGUCAGAGGGGGGUAGAAUUCCACGUGUAGCAGU
rnacentral:rRNA from 1 species